AUGGACGCAAGUCUGACAGGAGCAACGCCGCGUGAGUGAAGAAGGCCUUCGGGUUGUAAAGCUCUGUCUUUGGGGACGAACGUGCCUAUUAUAAAUAAUGAUAGGUAAUGACGGUACCUAAGGAGGAAGCCACGGCUAACUACGUGCUAGCAGCCGCGGUAAUACGUAGGUGGCAAGCGUUGUCCGGAAUUAUUGGGCGUAAAGCGCGCGCAGGCGGGAUAUCAAGUCUAUCUUAAAAGUUCGGGGCUCAACCCCGUGAUGGGAUGGAAACUGGUAUUCUUGAGUGUCGGAGAGGAAAGUGGAAUUCCCAGUGUAGCGGUGAAAUGCGUAGAUAUUGGGAGGAACACCAGUGGCGAAGGCGACUUUCUGGACGAUGUCUGACGCUGAGGCGCGAAAGCCAGGGGAGUGAACGGGAUUAGAUACCCCGGUAAUCCUGGCCGUAAACGAUGGGUACUAGGUGUAGAGGGUAUCGACCCCUUCUGUGCCGGAGUUAACGCAAUAAGUACCCCGCCUGGGGAGUACGG
rnacentral:rRNA from 1 species